GCUUUGUCCACACACCAGAAAACUGAGGAUGUCACCGAAAAUCUCAAGAAUUAUAUGUUAAGAAGCAAAGUUAUGCGAGCACCAUUGGUUUGUGCAAGCGUUGCCGCCUCAACCGGCCGGGCCAAGCUCCAACCCACCAGCGAGACGUUAUGGUUUCGUUUGGACUCCUCCUGCACCAAGAGGCCGGAUGAAACCCACCACCAACACAAUGCUGUUUUGCCUGUCGAGCCCAUUUUUAAUUGCCGCAGAUCUGACCAGGUACCAUGCUUUCUCUCCUCUAUAAGCAUCACCUCUUUCAAACUUACCAAAUCCGCAUAUUUAGUUCCACAGAUCUAAUUCAUACUGCACACUUUUGAAGUAUCCUAUACAGUGUGUAUGCAAAUGAGGCUAGAGGUAUAUAUCCUACCAUGAACUAAGAAUCUAUGGUAAAAAUACAUGCUCAUGGUACUGCAGGUUCUUGUAGUCCACUUGAAAUGUUUGUCAUAAUCUGAUCUCGUUUCGAAUGUUUAUGUGUUGCUUUUCUCCAAUUCCUCAACUGGUAUUGUACGAUUAGUUCAAGAGUCAUCUCAUGAACAUAAUAGCAGCACCAGUAAGAUGUGCUUGAGGGGUUGUUACAACCCUUGUACACCAGCUACUUUUUUUAUUUUUAUUGCGUAAUGGACAAAACUUUGGCCAGCUGAUGUUCGUAACCAGUUAAUUUGUUGGGUACUUUACAUGGCAUUUUUCUAUUAAUAUAUGUUCUAGGUUUUCUGAAACCAAGCUCAAAUAAUCUUAAAUGUGUGCAAGUUGGGAAAAUAUGAAGGAGAACCUGGGAAACAGCGCACCCUAUAUGCAAAAAAAAUUAGUAAUUCAAAAGAGUUUAAAAAAUUCUGAAUCUCUGGUAUCAAGCAUGAUCAAAUAUUGUAGUCAUACAAAAAGAUUGGUUUGGUCAGAGAAUGACUUUCGUUGUAGCAAAAAAAGCUAUAUAUAAGUACUAUACAUGCUAUAUUAUCGUCAUAAACUUGUCUUUUUUGCCCUGAAGUCAAUAUGAAUCAUUUUUUGUCCAAACUGUUUAUAUGAGUACAAUACCUGAUCAUGUUUGAUUCCAAAAAAGAUUUGGAAUUUUCUGAUUUGUUUUUAAUUACUAAAGACUCUACUGAGACAAAAAGAUGGGCUGUCAAAAAGAUAGAGGAGGUAGGAUGGGCAGUUGGUCAGAUCUAGUAUGGAUCGUACAUGGACGAUAGUUGGAGUCGGCGGCUCUCCUAGGCUUCCCUCAUCUGGGAUCCCUGGGGAAGAGGAUCAAGUUGGCCCUUGCGAAUAACUUGAUGCACUAUCUCCCUUCAACCCUUUGAGCGAAAUGUAGCAAAAGGAAGGAAAAUCCAUGGACCGACCCCAUUGUCUCCA